AUUUAAUUUUGAACGAGUGGCGGACGGGUGAGUAACACGUGGGUAACCUGCCCUUAAGUGGGGGAUAACAUUUGGAAACAGAUGCUAAUACCGCAUAAAUCCAAGAACCGCAUGGUUCUUGGCUGAAAGAUGGCGUAAGCUAUCGCUUUUGGAUGGACCCGCGGCGUAUUAGCUAGUUGGUGAGGUAACGGCUCACCAAGGCAAUGAUACGUAGCCGAACUGAGAGGUUGAUCGGCCACAUUGGGACUGAGACACGGCCCAAACUCCUACGGGAGGCAGCAGUAGGGAAUCUUCCACAAUGGACGCAAGUCUGAUGGAGCAACGCCGCGUGAGUGAAGAAGGCUUUCGGGUCGUAAAACUCUGUUGUUGGAGAAGAAUGGUCGGCAGAGUAACUGUUGUCGGCGUGACGGUAUCCAACCAGAAAGCCACGGCUAACUACGUGCCAGCAGCCGCGGUAAUACGUAGGUGGCAAGCGUUAUCCGGAUUUAUUGGGCGUAAAGCGAGCGCAGGCGGUUUUUUAAGUCUGAUGUGAAAGCCCUCGGCUUAACCGAGGAAGUGCAUCGGAAACUGGGAAACUUGAGUGCAGAAGAGGACAGUGGAACUCCAUGUGUAGCGGUGAAAUGCGUAGAUAUAUGGAAGAACACCAGUGGCGAAGGCGGCUGUCUGGUCUGUAACUGACGCUGAGGCUCGAAAGCAUGGGUAGCGAACAGGAUUAGAUACCCUGGUAGUCCAUGCCGUAAACGAUGAAUGCUAGGUGUUGGAGGGUUUCCGCCCUUCAGUGCCGCAGCUAACGCAUUAAGCAUUCCGCCUGGGGAGUACGACCGCAAGGUUGAAACUCAAAGGAAUUGACGGGGGCCCGCACAAGCGGUGGAGCAUGUGGUUUAAUUCGAAGCAACGCGAAGAACCUUACCAGGUCUUGACAUCUUUUGAUCACCUGAGAGAUCAGGUUUCCCCUUCGGGGGCAAAAUGACAGGUGGUGCAUGGUUGUCGUCAGCUCGUGUCGUGAGAUGUUGGGUUAAGUCCCGCAACGAGCGCAACCCUUAUGACUAGUUGCCAGCAUUUAGUUGGGCACUCUAGUAAGACUGCCGGUGACAAACCGGAGGAAGGUGGGGAUGACGUCAAAUCAUCAUGCCCCUUAUGACCUGGGCUACACACGUGCUACAAUGGAUGGUACAACGAGUUGCGAGACCGCGAGGUCAAGCUAAUCUCUUAAAGCCAUUCUCAGUUCGGACUGUAGGCUGCAACUCGCCUACACGAAGUCGGAAUCGCUAGUAAUCGCGGAUCAGCACGCCGCGGUGAAUACGUUCCCGGGCCUUGUACACACCGCCCGUCACACCAUGAGAGUUUGUAACACCCGAAGCCGGUGGCGUAACC
rnacentral:rRNA from 1 species